AUGUGGCGUCCGCAACCCCCGCCGGCCGUCGUCUCGUACACCCCCAUCCAGUCCAUCCACCGUGGUGGCACGGCGGCAUCCUGCGUGACAAUCAGUUCUGGGGGCGGGGGGCGGCGACGAGAUGUCGGUCGUCGUCUCGAGUUGCGCCGUGCAGUCUUCACGUCAUGGCGGCCCAGCUCCAGCAAACACCACCACCCGCGUUGGCUGGAAGCGCAGGUACCUGCUGAAUCUCUGUCGCCUGCGGGGUCGGCCGGCGACACCGGGAAAAUCUUCGAUGCUGUGUCUUGCAAGAUGGGCGCAGCUCGCCGUGCACAGUGUUCAGGAUUGGGCUUCGUUCACGCCGGGGGAGGGGAUGGCCCAAAGGUGUGA
rnacentral:rRNA from 1 species